UGGGGAAUUUUGGACAAUGGGCGAAAGCCUGAUCCAGCAAUGCCGCGUGUGUGAAGAAGGCCUUCGGGUUGUAAAGCACUUUUGUCCGGAAAGAAAUCCUUGGCUCUAAUACAGUCGGGGGAUGACGGUACCGGAAGAAUAAGCACCGGCUAACUACGUGCCAGCAGCCGCGGUAAUACGUAGGGUGCAAGCGUUAAUCGGAAUUACUGGGCGUAAAGCGUGCGCAGGCGGUUUGCUAAGACCAUGUGAAAUCCCCGGGCUCAACCUGGGAACUGCAUUGGUGACUGGCAGGCUAGAGUAUGGCAGAGGGGGGUAGAAUUCCACGUGUAGCAGUGAAAUGCGUAGAGAUGUGGAGGAAUACCGAUGGCGAAGGCAGCCCCCUGGGCCAAUACUGACGCUCAUGCACGAAAGCGUGGGGGAGCAAAACAGGAUUAGAUACCCUGGUAGUCCACGCCCUAAACGAUGUCAACUAGUUGUUGGGGAUUCAUUUCCUUAGUAACGUAGCUAACGCGUGAAGUUGACCGCCUGGGGAGUACGGUCGCAAGAUUAAAACUUAAAUGAAUUGACGGGGUCAUAGCUGUUUCCU
rnacentral:rRNA from 1 species